UUGGAAUGAAACGAGUGAGUCAGC
rnacentral:miRNA from 1 species